GCUGGCAAUGAUGUCACACUUGCCCUCGCUGAGAGCUGUGCUCGCUGAGGGGAGCAUCUGUGUGCUCAGUGCAGCUGAGCCAGC
rnacentral:snoRNA from 1 species